UACGUAGGGGGCAAGCGUUGUCCGGAAUCAUUGGGCGUAAAGCGCGCGUAGGCGGCCCGGUAAGUCCGCUCUGAAAGUCCAGGGCUCAACCCUGGAAAGCGGGUGGAUACUGCCGGGCUAGAAUCCGGAAGAGGCGAGUGGAAUUCCUGGUGUAGCGGUGGAAUGCGCAGAUAUCAGGAGGAACACCAAUAGCGAAGGCAGCUCGCUGGGACGGUAUUGACGCUAAGGCGCGAAAGCAUGGGGAGCAAACAGG
rnacentral:rRNA from 1 species